CCUCGGCCUCCCAAAGUGCUGGGAUUACAGGCAUGAGCCACCACACCCGGCCUCUGUGCUGUUAAUGUCCUCUUAACUUCUUUGCCCUCAGUCUGAUUGUCUAACAAGUGCAGAUAUCCACUCUGAACAUUUCAUCUCGACAGCUGACAUCAAUACUGGCCAUCCUGAGAUUUAUCUUUUCAUAUGAGAAAAUAUUAUACAUUGGAGACCAGAGCUUAGAAUGGACAAAAUUGUCUUCUAGAAGUGCCAUUAUCACAGAUAGGCAGCUGGGGCAGCCUCAGGCUGGUUCUAGCCAAGCUGGAAGAAGGUAAGAGUUAAUGGUGUAAGAAAAUAGCAAGAGGGCCCGUUGGGCAGGGAAAGUUCUGCGUGGAGCACAGUACUCAGCACCCGCGACCUCAGUGGAAGCAAUUUCAUUAUCCUUUGCUUUCGAGGCCCUCUCCCUCUCUGAGGAGGCUCUCUGCAUCUUGACCUUUGGUGACCUCAGAAUUUUCUGGCAGCCGCUGGAACCAGGGAUCAUCUUUUCAGAAAUCUGUUUGGCAUCGUUCCGUGACUUAUCUUUCAGCCCUCAUCACCAUUAUUCAUGCUUUGGCAGUAUCCUAGCUACAGACACAGUACUCUUCUUGAGCUGACACUGAAGGUUACUCCAUCCCAGCCGAUGGAGAAGGAAGGCGCCCACUCCUCAGGACCCUGACUCCAGGAAGCAUGCUCCCUGUGAGGGCAGGUGCUUAAAGGCAUCUAUUCAGAAGCUGAUCUCAACCUCCAGCCCUUGUGAACAGGCAAAUAGGUGAAGAUAACACAAAACAGGAACUGGUCCCCAAAUCAUAGGCAAUUUGGCUUUGGAAUGCAUUCCAAGGCACAUUUGCUGUACACUUGUAUGCACAUUCAUCCAAACUCAAAUGCUAAACUCCACCAGCUGCCUCUGGACUACAUAAAAACCCCAAACCUUUAUCUCUUCAUUAACGAUGGCAAAGAUUUUCCGGCUUUACCUUUCUUCCCCACUUUAACAUCCUGCUUCUAUUCUGUGGCCUGCGCUUCCUGCUUUGUAUAUUUUAGAUUACUUUAGACAUAACCUCACAUCCUGGCCAAUUGCACAGUAGCUGCUAAUUGCUAGAGCUUUGCUAAUGGCCUGUACAUCGAUGAAGAAUGAGUUACAAGCAGCAAAAUCCAGAAGACAAUAAGCUAGUGUGGUUUAGAGCUGGGGCUCUGGAGGGAGACAGACUUGGGUUUCAAGCUUAGACUGUGUGGCCUGGGGCAACUAACUUAACCUCUCUGAAUCUCUGUUAUCUCGUCUAAAUGGAUAUUAUAAUAGCUCCUACCUCACAGGGUUGUUGCUAAAAUAAAUACUGGAUAAUGCCUAUAAACGACUUAGCACAAUGCAAGCUAUUGUUAUUACCAUGUAGGCUUUCAAAUUAUGAAGAGCUUUCUUCCUCUAGAGUCUACAUAUUCCUGAGAUCCUGCCGAGCUAUUCUGCUCCAUCUCUACCCUGCACCUGCCCAGCCCCAUUCCCCUGACCAACCACUUCCUCCAGGUAGCAUUCCUUGAUUGAGCAAAAUGCACACAAUUAUGCAUUUGCAUUUUCUCUCUAUUGUUUUAUGUUUUUCAAGGGUUUCAUAUGGGUAUUUACAUUUUCCCCAAUUCACACACCAAGCUUCUCCAAGAUCAACAAGCCUUACCUUCAGUAGUAUCUCAGGUAGUACAAACCCAAGAGCAACAUCCCUAGUAAACAGCCAGAUCUUCAGAACCAAAUGUGGAGACUACCUUUUAAGUCGGCCUUUUGCGUCCUUUGCAAAAUGGCUCUCUUGUUUAUCAAAGUCUCUUUUGUACAGUAAGCGUAUCAGAAGUUCAUCUGAAGGAAGUAUACAGAGGCAGGAAGCACUGACAUUUCCCCCCACCAUGAGGUCCCCAAAUCCAUUCCUUCCCCAUCUGCCAAGACAUUCAUCCACGCUCUAGUUAUUUUCUACAUCACAGUAUUUUCUAAAAUUACUCUUUCUGGAGCCCUUCCUCACCCCUUCACUAUCUCACUUGAGUCUAUCCAUGGCAUCAUUUUUCCCCCUGUUCUCUUAAUCCCUCUUGGUGCACACAGAACUUUCACAUGAGCGAUAUUUGCUCCAUCAUCAUCCGUCUCUAUUCGCAGAGCCCACUUAGGCCCUCAGGCUUUGCUCUCCGGACUCUGACUUCCUGAACUGUGGUGAAGUAGUCCCCCUCCUUGCCAGGUCUUGAGAUGUCCAUGUGGAACUUUCCGGCCCGGCCCAUUUGUACAUGAAUGUUUCACGCAACACUCUACAACAUCACUUCUGCUUCUAUGGGUAGCCGGCAGGGCCCUGUGUACAGGCAUCAUCUGUUUAAACUGAAAUCUUGUCAUUUGUCAUGGCAGUUUUAUUUAUGAUCCUGUGUGCUGUAACCUUGUGGCAUAAAUAUUAAAUAAUAAUAUCUCUUGGGUUAAAAAAAAAUCAUUCAUGUUAACUGACAACUUCUUAUGAAAAUAUGAAGUAAGCCCAACCACACAAUUUGGUAUUGGCUCAUUUUGAAAUAUGAGUAAAAGCACGGAUUGCUCAACAGGUAGAUGCACAGGCAGAAUUAUAAUUUCCAUUUUUACACCUUCUUGCUUCAAGAAAUGAAACAUUCAAGAAGUAAAAAACGUUAAAAGAAACGGGCUGGGUGGCAAAUUUCUUCAGAAUCAAAUUCUAAUUCCUGCCAGUAUCUCCUAAGUAGUUUUUAGCUUCCAAAAAGGAAGACGCCAAAUAAUGACAAUGCCACAUAAGUGAAAUGAAUUCCGGACAAUGACACUGCUCAUUUUUUUUUUUUUUUUUUUUUUUUGGCAUUCUGUGAAUUUCCUAUUACAUCAGUUUCAUGAUUCAGCAUUUUCCAUUUCAUUUAUUUACAGUAAUAUAUGGCGAGAUAACCCAAGGUUUCUGCAGGAUUUUGGAACAUAAGGUACGCUGGGCAGGAAGGGUGUCGCCUUCUGUAAAUUUACUAUUGUUUAGGAGAACUCAAAACAGAAGCAAGUAAGCCAUCAAAGGAACUGAGAAAAUUUCUCCCCACCUUGUUCUGAGGGCUCUCAACUACUCUGGUAUUUAAAAUAAAUUGGUUUUGAAAAAUAGGUUACUGCCCUUUAGUUGAUGACUAAAACAAAAGCCAAGAAGUGUGCAAAUUGCAAACUGACAUGCAUGAGCCAAACAUAUUCUCUGAAAUGACAAUGUUCAAGACGCAGCUAAAGUCACCACUCUGGCGGUAAGCGUGUUACAGAGAACUAGAUUUCUUUCCGGCAUCCGCAACUUGGCUGGAGUGACCAAGGAGGAGUUGAAGAGCGCUGGAGAUGCGAGGUACCACCAGAGGCCCCAGGAUUCCAGAGGUAAGCAGAAUGGCUCUAUUUCUGCCAGGAGCAUCGGGCAUGCGGAAAACCUGCCAGAGUUUGGUCUUCUAAGAGAACAUCCCAUCAGAUACCAUCCUCAUCUCCUGAUCCUCAGAUCUCAUCCUUUGAGCCUCAAAUCCCUGACUCUGCAGACUCUCUUCCUAUGGGCCACAGAGCCCUUGCCUUGGGAAGUUGUGGUAAAGGAGGAAAAGGAAGCAUUUGUGUAAACUGAAAGCUUUUCCGUGUAUUUUUAUGGGAUGCUGAAGGUCUUGGAAUCACUCGGUCUGUAGCCCUGGCAUGCUCCAAAAUGAGCUCUAUUUCUGGGCCUGUCAGAUGAAAUGCUGUUGCUCCUAGUUAUUUUUGGCUCUUUGCCCUUCUGAAUAGGUGCAUAUUCAGCUCAAUUCUUCCCCCCACCCUGAGCUGGGGGAAAAAGCAGGCAGCUUCCCUUAGCCAAGCCCUCCCCUGUGUCAGGAGCACUUUCGCCCUUAAGCAGCAGCUACUGACAUAAGCUCUCUGGACAGCCCAUGACUUACUUGUGCAGUGUCCAGGUGGGCAGCAGAGAAAUCCAUUCUCUGGCCCUCUUGGGCCAUUAAGGGAAAGCUUUGUGAGCUGAACAUUUCCAGGCAGGUGCAACCAGAUGUCCAGGGCCUCCUUAUUCAUACCAGGUCUGCAUCCUGCCCCACCACCAUAGUUGCAGAAACUUCUGCCAUCCUUGGGGGUAUUGGGAUAAGAAGCAGGGAUUUCAGGCUCAGUGAGCACAGAAGUCCCUGUGUACUGGGUGUUUGGGGAAGGAAAGUGCACAGGAUGUAGAAGAUCAAGGGCAUGUGUCCAUAGAUGUAAGGACAUCUUUGGGACCAGGUGCAAUGGCUCACGCCUGUAAUCCCUACACCUUGGGAGGCUGAGGCAGGUGGA